AUUGAACGCUGGCGGCAGGCCUAACACAUGCAAGUCGGGCGAGUGGCGGACGGGUGAGUAAUGUAUGGGAAUCUGCCUGAUGGAGGGGGAUAACUACUGGAAACGGUAGCUAAUACCGCGUACCAUCAGAUGAACCCAAAUGGGAUUAGCUAGUGGGUGAGGUAACGGCUCACCAAGGCGACGAUCCCUAGCUGGUCUGAGAGGAUGACCAGCCACACUGGGACUGAGACACGGCCCAGACUCCUACGGGAGGCAGCAGUGGGGAAUAUUGCACAAUGGGCGCAAGCCUGAUGCAGCCAUGCCGCGUGAAUGAAGAAGGCCUUCGGGUUGUAAAGUACUUUCGGUAGGGAGGCGUUACCGACAGAAGAAGCACCGGCUAACUCCGUGCCAGCAGCCGCGGUAAUUC
rnacentral:rRNA from 1 species